AAGAAGAUGAAUUGUGAGACUUACAAAAAACUAUUUCAUUUUAUUUGUGUAUUUUAAAAAUACAUUGAGUAUUCAAGGAUAGCCUGGAUCUGCUCCUAGAAAGUUUUAUCUUAUUGCUCCAUCUAUUUUACCUGUUGAGCCAACCCCCCAAAAAGUAGAUUACAAAACAGUAAACAAAACUACAGUAUAAUACUUUACUUACCCACUUCAGUUUCUUCUGAAGUGGGCUAACUCUAUAAGGCUGUGCUUUCUAAGCACUCAGGCUGUGUUGUAUCUCAAACUGCUAAUAAAUGCCAGCUGUAACUAAUUGUGACAUUGGUGUAUAGUUCACAUUAGGAACAGCAGGACUACUUUUAAAACUGGAGCAGCUGUGGGUUACUAGAAGCAUAGCCUAUCACAGCAGUAAUGGGCCUUCCAAAGGCAAGGGUCAGCUGUAUAUAAGCUUUCUCAGAGCAAAACUGUGCUUUCUGAGGUUAAUCAGAGCUUGUGAGUGUUUUUGUCGUCUAUUGCAUCUGGCCAACUAUGACAGCAGGAGACAGGAAGGACAUGUGAAAGAAUAAGAUGGUAGUCAGAAGCUAGUCAGAAAUGCAAGCUGAUGACAGUCCUUAUCGUCAUUGUGAUGACAAUACUUGUUGGAGCCCUCAGGAUGUUACUGUGGACAGCCCAACAUUUCCUGGGGUGUGCCAUUGUAUGGGGGCUUAUGUGGCAAAGUUGGUAGCAGCAGGGCUGCUGUGAGAAGAGGACCCAGCUGCAGAGACUAGAACAAACCUCAACCCGUGGGUCACCCUUGCUGGAACAGUCUACUCCUAAAGUGCUGCAGACCCAUGCUGAAGCAGUUCUUGGAGAACUGCAGCCUAUAGGAAGUACUCACGUUGGAUCAGUUUUUGAAGGGCUGAAGCCUAUGGGAGGGACCCAGCACUGAAGGAGGGGAAAGAUGAAGUGCUAAGAACUGACCUGACCUCAACCCCUGUUCACCAUCUUUGUACUGCUUGGGAAAGAGGAUGUUUGGAGUGAAGGUGAGCCUAGGAAGAAAGGGGUGUGUGGAGGUGU
rnacentral:lncRNA from 1 species